rnacentral:lncRNA from 1 species
CAAGAUCUUUUUCUCCAGUGGGGACUGUUGAUCUGCAGCAACCGCAGGGUCUUCUGAUGUUUUAGCCCAGGCCAAU